rnacentral:lncRNA from 1 species
CUGGAUACAUUAAAUCAUCAAUGCACAAAUCCAAGAUUCUGGAGCACAAUCGGAAUCUUGUAAGCCACUGCAACCAUCUCCAUCUUCUCUCUUUUCUGAUUCAAAGUGAUUUCUAGGGUUCCUCUCAAAUCUGAAAGACAAUUAUUAUUGUAAUUUUUUGAUAGAUUUUUUUAAUUGUUGAAUCCAUUUUUUUUAAUAUAUUUACCUGGAAUGAUUUUUCUUAUUUUCAAUUUUGGUUUUUUAAUAUAUUUACCUGGAAUGAUUCUUAUUU